AGGUUUUUCAGCGUGGUGUUGAGCGGCUUAAUGUGCAGGCUGUUGUUAUUCAGCACCACGUUGCCGCUGGCGUGCACCAGUUCCCCAUCCAGCGGAAUAUCCAGGUUGAGCGAACCACGCACGUUGCCGCCAAUCUGCAGCUGCUCCAGCGCCGCACCCAGCGUGGAUUUGAGCGGCGUGCGGGCGAAAUAGUCGGCGAUAUCUUUACCUUCGCCGCUCAAAUCACCGUCAAUGAUCAGCUUCUCUUUCAGGUAAUCCGGGAUUACCGCACUGACGUUGCGCGCGUCCACCGCGCCCAGCCGGGUUUGCGCCGCCUUCAUCCACAGACCGUCGUUGAUAAAAUCGAGGUCGAUAUCGAGAUUUUCCAGCGCUGGCCAGCCUGGCUGGAACUGGAAGGUAGCAUUGCGUACCGGCAC
rfam:Pantoea dispersa strain SA5 contig_14, whole genome shotgun sequence.